ensembl:lncRNA
UUGUAAAUAGUUUCUGUUAUCCUUGGAGACAGCACAGUGGGCAGUGCACGAGUGCCAUGGCUAAGGGCGGUGAAUGAUCUAUUCAUCAUGAAUUUUCUGGUGAGCAGCAUCUCUCUGCUCCCCAGUGAGUGCUCUGAUACAACCAGGUGGCUCAGAGGGAGUACUGGGCUGACAUUGCUGUUCUUGUGCUGUGCUCUAUAGUGGUGGUCUCUGCUGUACAGACUCCUGUGCAGGAAGGGGAGGAAUGCAAAACUCCAGGAAGGUGGUUGCCUUCAUUUCCAGAGUUGCAUUGCAAGGUUGUAAUUCUCUUUUCUAAGCCAAAACACUGGAUGAGCGUUUGCCUUCAUUUCAGUUGUGUGUUGCCAAUGCGUCACUGCAAUGUGCUCCCAUUUCCUGAGUUGAAAAGGGUUCAUCAGUGCUGCUCUGUGAAGGUGCUGGCUGACUCUGGUGUUCCUUGUGUUGUUCUCCUUUAGAGAUGACUGAAAAGCAGUUAUAGCUGCAUGUCAGUUUUGUACUGUGGUUGAAAUGUCCGUUGCCUUUUGAAAAUGUGCCUAUGAGAUGUUUUAUAGACUCCCACUCAUUCUGACUACCAGUAAUUCCAGUGCCAGGUAAUCUCAUUUCUUUAUCUAAAUGAGCUCUUCAUGACAAAAGCUGGAAGACCUAUAAGGGCAGCAUUCUCCAAAGCUCUGCUGUAUCUAGCACAGGGCAGCAUAAGCAGAGGUGUUUUGGUCCUUCCGUACUCUUAAAUAGCAGGCAGUUCAAAUUGCCGUUAUUCAUGUCUUCUCAAGCAACUGUAAAGCACAGCAAAUGUAUCAGCCUCUGAAUGAAUACUACUUCAGGUUUAUUGUGAAAAGCUUGUGUGAUUGCUGCUAGAAUUGAUAAUAAAUCACCUACAUCUAGGCUUAGCACUGUUAACUGCCAUUUAGUCAACCUAACUUAUGUUUUCAUCUCAACCUCUUGUAGGUGUGAUGUCCAGCAGCAUAAACUUAAGUAUGCAGAUCUGUGGUGUUCAGUUACUUUUGCAAUCCUCAGUAGCACCAAAGUGUAAAUCCCUUUAUUUUGCUAAUAAUCCACUUGUCCUACUUUGCAUAUUAAAACUGGAAGAUCUUUAAUUUUCCAAUUUACAUUUUUAAUAUAUCCUUUCAGUGUAUAAUCACAGCUUGCUGAUCAGUGCCCUAUGAACUAUGGGGUCACACAAUUCCAUUGCCUCCUUUUGUACAGAACAAGUUGUGAGAAGUCCAUGUAGCCAAAUGUAGUGUAUCUAUCCCGUGUAGUCAAAUAUCUGGAUAAUUGUAGCAUGUUUUGAAACAAAUCUGC